UUGGGGGACUUGAUCCCUUAGUGGUGAAGCUAACGCGAUAAGUAGACCGCCUGGGGAGUACGGUCGCAAGAUUAAAACUCAAAUGAAUUGACGGGGGCCCGCACAAGCGGUGGAGCAUGUGGUUUAAUUCGACGCAACGCGAAAAACCUUACCUGGUCUUGACAUCCUGCGAACUUUCUAGAGAUAGAUUGGUGCCUUCGGGAACGCAGUGACAGGUGCUGCAUGGCUGUCGUCGGCUCGUGUCGUGAGAUGUUGGGUUAAGUCCCGUAACGAGCGCAACCCUUGUCCUUAUUUGCCAGCACGUAAUGGUGGGAACUCUAAGGAGACUGCCGGUGACAAACCGGAGGAAGGUGGGGACGACGUCAAGUCAUCAUGGCCCUUAUGACCAGGGCUACACACGUGCUACAAUGGAGCGUACAGAGGGUUGCUAAGCCGCGAGGUGGAGCCAAUCCCAGAAAACGUUUCGUAGUCCGGAUCGAAGUCUGCAACUCGACUUCGUGAAGUCGGAAUCGCUAGUAAUCGCGAAUCAGCAUGUCGCGGUGAAUACGUUCCCGGGCCUUGUACACACCGCCCGUCACACCAUGGGAGUGGGUUGCAAAAGAAGUGGCUAGUCUAACCUUCGGGAGGACGGUCACCACUUUGUGAUUCAUGACUGGGGUG
rnacentral:rRNA from 1 species